GGGCAAGUGGCGGAAUUGGUAGACGCGCUACGUUCAGAGCGUAGUGAGCUUUCGCUCGUGGGAGUUCAAGUCUCCCCUUGCCCA
rnacentral:tRNA from 1 species